CACGGGAUAGCGUAGAUGGCUAACGCGUCAGGCUCAUAACCUGAAGAACGUGGGUUCGACUCCCACUCCCGUGA
rnacentral:tRNA from 1 species